GACGUAGGGCGCGAGCGUUGUCCGGAUUUAUUGGGCGUAAAGAGCUCGUAGGCGGUCUGUCGCGUCCGUUGUGAAAACUCGAGGCUCAACCUCGGGCUUGCAGUGGAUACGGGCAGACUAGAGUGCGGUAGGGGAGACUGGAAUUCCUGGUGUAGCGGUGGAAUGCGCAGAUAUCAGGAGGAACACCGAUGGCGAAGGCAGUGUCCUGGCUGGCAUCUGACGCUGAGGCGCGAAAGCUAGGGGAGCGAACAGG
rnacentral:rRNA from 1 species